rnacentral:rRNA from 1 species
CCAAGGGCACGUCUGCCUGGGUGUCACACAUCGUCCCCACCGAAACAAAUGCUCCUUGUAGGUGUUUGGUAAGAGGAUGGGCGGAUAAUGGUCUCCCGUGCGCGGUUGCUCGCGGUUGGCCGAAAAAUGAGUUCCUGGUGAUAGCAAGCCAUGACCAGCGGUGGUUGAAAGACCCUCGAUGGGUGUCGUGAGAACUUGCAUCGCAUGUUGGGAGAUUCUGACCUUGAUCGUGUUUGAGCAUAUAUCAAACACUCUGAAGUGACCCCAGGUCAGGCGGGACUACCCGCUGAGUUUAAGCAUAUCAAUAAGCGGAGGAAAAGAAACUAACAAGGAUUCCCUUAGUAACGGCGAGCGAACCGGGAAAUGCCCAGCUUGAAAAUCGGAUGCCUUAGGCGUUCGAAUUGUAGUC